GAUGAAGAACGUAGCGAAAUGCGAUGAGUAAUGUGAAUUGCAGAAUUCAGUGAAUCAUCGAAUCUUUGAACGCACAUUGCGCCCGUCAGUAUUCUGGCGGGCAUGCCUGUUCGAGCGUCAUUACGCCCCUCAAGUCCCCUGUGGACUUGGUGUUGGGGAUCGGCGAGGCUGGUUUUCCAGCACAGCCGUCCCUUAAAUUAAUUGGCGGUCUCGCCGUGGCCCUCCUCUGCGCAGUAGUAAAACACUCGCAACAGGAGCCCGGCGCGGUCCACUGCCGUAAAACCCCCCAACUUUUUAUAGUUGACCUCGAAUCAGGUAGGACUACCCGCUGAACUUAAGCAUAUCAAUAAGCGGAGGA
rnacentral:misc_RNA from 1 species